UACCAAGGCGACGAUCCGUAGCUGGUCUGAGAGGAUGAUCAGCCACACUGGGACUGAGACACGGCCCAGACUCCUACGGGAGGCAGCAGUGGGGAAUAUUGGACAAUGGGCGAAAGCCUGAUCCAGCAAUGCCGCGUGUGUGAAGAAGGCCUGAGGGUUGUAAAGCACUUUCAGCGGGGAGGAAGGUAUAAAUGUUAAUACCAUUUAUGCUUGACGUUACCUGCA
rnacentral:rRNA from 1 species